CUGGGCUACAGAGCAAGACUCCAUCUCAAUUAAUUAAUUAAUUAAUUAAUUAAUUAAAAUAAAAAAUUAAUAGUAAGAGCAAUGUGAACAAAAGAUGCAAUAAAAUAAUUUAGAAAAUACAAACUAUUAAAAAAUAGAUUUUAAAACUUGUGCAACGAAGUCAAACAGCAGCCAACGAAAAUGUAUACCCUUACACGUUUGUUUAAAAAGCAAUUUAAAUUACAUUGAUCCACUAAACUAGGAAAAGCAAAACAAACAAAAAGGGGGAAAUAAUUAAGACCUAAGGAAAAAGAAAAACCACUAGAUUUAAAAAAUAAAACUAAAGGAGGAUUCUUUCAAAAGACUGAGAUAAUAAAACAGUCAAGCCUCUGAUAAGUAAUCAAGAUAAAGAAAACUUUGAAGAGAAAAGGGCAUAUAGCCACAUGUGAAUAUGAUGCAAAAAGUGAAAACUUUACACAUCUUUACAACACCUUAGAAGUAUGGAUGACAUGUUCAUUUUUUUUUUUUUUUUUUUUUGAGACGGAGUCUCGCUCUGUCACCCACGCUGGAGUGCAGUGGCGUGAUCUUGGCUCACUGCAAGCUCCGCCUCCUGGGUUCACAACAUUCUCCUGCCUCAACCUCCCGAGUAGCUGGGACUACAAGCGCCCGCCACCACGCCUGGCUAAUUUUUUGUAUUUUGGCUUAGUAGAGACAGGGUUUCACCAUGUUAGCCAGGAUGGUCUCUAUCUCCUGACCUCGUGAUCCACCCGCCUCGGCCUCCCAAAGUGCUGGGAUUACAGACAUGAGCCAUCGCACCCAUCCAAAGUGUUCAUUUUUUUUUAAGAACCUACAGUUACGAAAAGUAACUGAAGAAGUGGGAAAUCUGGAGACCAAUAUGCAGAAGAAGGAAAAAGACAAAGACUCAUCCUCCAAAUUGGAUAUUUAAACCAGAAUUUGUCAUCCUCAGCAAUAUUGAUAUAUUGGGCCAGAUAAUUCUUUGUGGAGGGUUCUCUUGGUGUGUUGUCGGGCAUUUAGUAACAUUCCCUCUACCCACAGAAUGCCAAUGAGACCUCCCGACCAUGACCAGUUGUGACCACAAAAAUGUCUCCAGAUAUUUCCAAACGUCCCAUAGGAGGCAAAAUACUCCUGCAGUUGAAAAUUACUGUGUAAACCAGAUCUACAUCCUAGAUCUUAGAAAAAAGAUGUAAAGCUUCCCAACUCAGCCCUGCAUGCCCUUGAUACUGAAAUAACAGCCUUAAAGGAAACAAACAAAACUAUAAUCUUAUUUAAUACAGAAGUAAAAAUGCAAAAAUAAAAUAUUACCAUAGCCAUUCUAACAGUGUUUAUUAUAGGAAUGCAAAGAUAAUUCAAAAUUAGGAAAAUUUCAUCAGGCAAUUCACAAAUUAUAUUUCUACAUAUAAUUGAAGGCACAAUCAUGAAAAACAAAGUAGCUCUAUAUGCAUUAAGUCCAUGAUCUAUUCAGUGAAAAACACAAGUUGCACAUGUCUUACAGAAGGAAAACUUAACACUGAACACAGAUUCUCACCAUCUGCUCUUUGUCCUGAGGCUCCAAUAGAAAUACAGUGAAGAAUAAACAUUGUAUAAGCACACCAUUACAAAAAAGGAAUGGGGUUACCAACAGAAGAGAAUUCAUCUUCAUUAGACAAUGACAGUACAUGGAAAAUGGUUAAUUCAUGGAGCAAAGCAACAAAGGUGGAGGUCAGGGGGAUACUGAGAACAAGGAGGCUAAUCUGUCCCACAGCAACCUGGAAAGGUUCUAGACUCAGACACGAGGUACCCCCGACAGUGGGACUGAUAGGCAAGACUGAAAACAGAGAUUAAGCAAAAGCCCGGAUAGAGAACACAUUUCACAGGCCCUGAAACACACUGCUAGCCCCAUCUCCUUAAACAGAACCCAAGCAAACGUAUCCACCUCAGGCAAGAGAAUGUAGAUUUUACAUCCAGAGGAAUGGAGUAGUCAUCCAGCCAUCAUUUAUGAUUGCAACAGGAGACAAGAUAGAGGGAUGGAGGAUAACAAUUAGGAAUCAGCAUACAUUCCCCUUAAAGCUAUCAGUUGACAAGUCUUGGCCACAAAGAACUCCCAAUCAAUUUUUAUUUAUUUUUAUUUUUAUUUAUUUAUUUAUUUAUUUAUUUUGAGACAGGGUCUUGCUCUUUCGCCCAGGUUGGAAUGCAGGAAUGCAGUGGCAUGAUCAGAGCUCACUGCAGCCUCAACCUCCUGGGCUCAAGCAAUCCUCCUGCCUCAGCCUCCCACGUAGCUGGGACUGCAGAUGGGUGUCACCACACCUAGCUAUUUUUUUUUUUUUUGUAAAGAUGGGGUCUCACUAUGUUGCCCAAACUAGUCUUGAGCUCCUGGGCUCAAGUGAUCCUCCCACUUCGGUCUCCCAAAGCACUGAGAUUAUAGGUGUGAGCCACCACACCUCGGCUCCCAGUCUUUUAGUACCUCUCUCAAAUAUGAAUGAACAAAUAAAGGAAUGGAAAAAAGACUACAGGUCAGGCACGGUGGCUCAUGUCUGUAAUCCCGCACUUUGGGAGGCCGAGGUGGGUGGAUCACCUGAGGUUGGGAGUUCCAGACCAGACUGACCAACAUGGAGAAAUCCCAUCUCUACUAAAAAUACACAAAUUAGCUGGGUGUGGCAGCACAUGCCUGUAAUCCCAGCUACUUGGGAGGCUGAGGCAGGAGAACUGCUUGAACCUUGGAGGCAGAGGUUGUGGUGAGCCAAGAUCACAUCAUUGUACUCCAGCCUAGGCAACAAGAGCGAAACUGGGUCUCAAAAAAAAAAAAAAAAAGACUACAAAUGAUAAGCAACAUAGAAUAGAUAUUUAAGGAAAGGCUUUAAAAAGAAAAAUAAGACCAAAAUAAACUAAGAAAAAGAUUAUUAAAGAACAAGGAGAUGCCAGGGAGAAGACAAAGAGUAUCAAAAUCACUUCAUAAAGACACUUGUGAAUAUAUUACAUGUAUAAAACAAAACAAUAUGAAUAAGAAAUAAUCAGAGAAGAAAAAGUUCUUAGAACUCAUGCUCCAUCUUGGGAGUUGGUCUCCAAUGAGCCAUACCUCCUGUCAUCAUGUCCUCAGACAGGCCCAUCCCAUAGUCAAUCUGGGUUGGCCCCAACACUCACUUUAACCUAUAGCAUGUGGUAGAAAUGACACUGGACCUGUUCCAGGUCUAAGCCUUAAGAACUCCUGGCAGCUCCAUUUCUGUGCUUCUGGAAGCCAAAAAUAAGAAUUGGCUACCUUCUUGGAGAAAGGAAAGCCACAUGAAGAGAUCCGAGAGGAUGAGAUGCUAUGCAGAGAGAAAGGCCACAUCAAGAAUUACCAAGGCAGCAGACCUGUGGGUAAAGAAGCCGUCUCAGACAUUCCACUGCAGCUGAGCAUCCAGAUGACCAGUCCCUGACACUGUUUAACCACACAGUGAGAGCUGCCAAAUGAGACCAGCAGAAAAACUGUCCAGCUAGCCCCAGGUAAUCCAUACAGUCGUGACAGAUAGACAGAUGUGUAGUUUUAGGCCAUUAAGUUUUGGGAUAAUUGGUUAAGCAACAAUAAAUAACCGAAACAAAACUUAAAGUUAUGACAGUCCAAAUAAAAUUUCCUGAAAGUCGAAAGAUAAGAAAAUAUUCCAGAACUGAAAAUUUAAAAAACAUUUAGAAAUAACGUGAGAUAUAAGACUCAAGACAAGAGGUCUAAAAUCCAAUUAACAGACACUUCCAAAUGAACAAAUAAAAUGGAAAAGAGAAAGUUAACAACAAAAAUAUGACAAGAUUCAAGACUCCAACUUUGAAAGAGCCUAUCCAUAGGCCUGUUCAUUUGGUGUACCCAGCAUAAUGAAUGAAAAAAGACCCACACUAAGUACACUGUUGUGCUAUUUCAGCUCACCAAGGAAAAGACAAACUCCUAAAAGCUUCCAGGGAGAAAGUCAUGCAUAAACAAGUGAAACUCAGGAUGGCAUGAGGCUUCGCCACCACGACUGGUUAGAAGACAACAGCACAGACUUUGAAAUUCUAAGGUGUUUUUCACAGGGCCAGUGGAUUUCACAAUGUGAGUGCUGUCCAGCACCAAAGGGAAUGGCCAACAGGCAUGGAGUAGCCUACAGCGUCCAGCACCCAGUAGGAUGGCCAGGAGGCACGGAGCAGCCUGCCUGUCCCAGGAAAGCAGGAGUCACAGGACACAACUGGACCCAGGUAGGCAUGUAUGUUACUUUCCUGUGGCUGUUAGAGCAAAUUACCAAAAAUGUGGUGACUUAAAACAACAGAAAUUUAUUUUCUCACAGUUUUGGAUAUCAGAAGUCCAAAAUCAGUAUCACUGGGCUGAAAUCUAGGUCUCAGCAGAGCCAGUGCUCUCAGAGGCUGAGGGGAAAAUCCAUCCUUUGACUUGCGCAGCUUCUGAUGGCUGCUGGCAUUCAUUGGCUUGCAGCUCCACCACUCCAGGCUCUGCCUUCUUGGUCACAGGGCCUCCUUCUCUUCUGUCUGAAGUUAAAUCUCCUUUAUCUCCCUCUUAUAAGGAUAUAUGUGCCAGGAUUUAAUGCCCACGGAGACAAUCCAGGAUAAUCUCUCCUCAAGAUCCUUAACUUAAUCAUACCUGAAAAUAUGCUUUUUCCAAAUGAGGUAACAUCUACAGGUUCUAGGAGUUCCAGACCAGCCUGGACGACAUGGUGAAACACGGUCUUUUUUUUUUUUUUUUUUUUUUUUUUUGAGCGGAGUUUCGCUCUUGUUUUCCAGGCUAGAGUGUUUUCCGGUCUCGACUCACCGCGGCCUCCACCUCCCGGUUAGGUGGUUCUCCUGCCUAAGCCUCCUGAGUGGCUGGGAUUGCAGGCAUGAGCCACCAUGCCAGCUAAUUUUGGUGUUUUUUUUUUUGUACAGACGGGGUUUCUCCGUGUUGGUCGGGCUGAUCUCAAGCUCCUGACCUCGGGUGAUCCACCCGCCUCCGCCUCCCUGGGUGCUGGGAUUGCAGGCGUGAGCCACCGCGCCUCCGGUCCAAUUUAGUAACCAAAAAGGAAUAGAUCGGCCUGGCGUGGUAGCUCAUGCUUGUGAUCCCAGUACUGUGGACGGCCGAGCGCGGCGAUCGAUUGAGCCUAGGACUUCCAGACCGGCCUGGGCAACGUGGUGAAACACUGUCUUU